GAUGAACGCUGGCGGCGUGCCUAAUACAUGCAAGUCGAGCGAACAGACGAGGAGCUUGCUCCUCUGACGUUAGCGGCGGACGGGUGAGUAACACGUGGAUAACCUACCUAUAAGACUGGGAUAACUUCGGGAAACCGGAGCUAAUACCGGAUAAUAUAUUGAACCGCAUGGUUCAAUAGUGAAAGACGGUUUUGCUGCCACUUAUAGAUGGAUCCGCGCCGCAUUAGCUAGUUGGUAAGGUAACGGCUUACCAAGGCAACGAUGCGUAGCCGACCUGAGAGGGUGAUCGGCCACACUGGAACUGAGACACGGUCCAGACUCCUACGGGAGGCAGCAGUAGGGAAUCUUCCGCAAUGGGCGAAAGCCUGACGGAGCAACGCCGCGUGAGUGAUGAAGGUCUUCGGAUCGUAAAACUCUGCUAUUAGGGAAGAACAAAUGUGUAAGUAACUAUGCACGUCUUGACGGUACCUAAUCAGAAAGCCACGGCUAACUACGUG
rnacentral:rRNA from 1 species